AGCGAACGCUGGCGGCAGGCCUAACACAUGCAAGUCGAACGAAGUCUUCGGACUUAGUGGCGGACGGGUGAGUAACACGUGGGAACGUGCCUUUAGGUUCGGAAUAACUCAGGGAAACUUGUGCUAAUACCGAAUGUGCCCUUCGGGGGAAAGAUUUAUCGCCUUUAGAGCGGCCCGCGUCUGAUUAGCUAGUUGGUGAGGUAAAGGCUCACCAAGGCUACGAUCAGUAGCUGGUCUGAGAGGAUGACCAGCCACAUUGGGACUGAGACACGGCCCAAACUCCUACGGGAGGCAGCAGUGGGGAAUCUUGCGCAAUGGGCGAAAGCCUGACGCAGCCAUGCCGCGUGGAUGAUGAAGGUCUUAGGAUUGUAAAAUCCUUCCACCGGUGAAGAUAGUGACUGUAGCCGGAGAAGAAGCCCCGGCUAACUUCGUGCCAGCAGCCGCAGUAACAC
rnacentral:rRNA from 1 species